AUACGAGGGUAAACCACUAGGUUAAGGUAAAUUAAAUUCAAUAUGAAUGUGAGGCUUAUUAUCACUCAAUUAAAGUGAUUUGAUGAAUGCUAACCCUAACCUAGAUAGGUCAAUAUGGGAGUGAACGUGGGUGUGUUAGGAGGCCUACCCGAUUUGCUGAUGGCUCUAAUACUUGAUAGACCCCUAGGUAGUAGGAAGACACCCCAUC
rnacentral:lncRNA from 1 species